UUGGGAAUCUUGGACAAUGGGGGAAACCCUGAUCCAGCCAUGCCGCGUGAGUGAUGAAGGCCUUCGGGUUGUAAAACUCUUUCGGCGGGGACGAUAAUGACGGUACCCGCAGAAGAAGCUCCGGCUAACUUCGUGCCAGCAGCCGCGGUAAUACGAAGGGGGCUAGCGUUGUUCGGAAUUACUGGGCGUAAAGCGCGCGCAGGCGGCUAUCCAAGUCAGUGGUGAAAGCCCGGAGCUCAACUCCGGAACUGCCAUUGAAACUGUUUAGCUUGAGGACGAGAGAGGUGAGUGGAAUUCCCAGUGUAGAGGUGAAAUUCGUAGAUAUUGGGAAGAACACCGGUGGCGAAGGCGGCUCACUGGCCCGUUUCUGACGCUCAGGCGCGAUAGCGUGGGGAUCAAACA
rnacentral:rRNA from 1 species